UACGUAGGGUGCGAGCGUUAUUCGGAAUCACUGGGCGUAAAGGGCGCGUAGGCGGCCUGGUAAGUCAGGGGUGAAAUCCCACGGCUCAACCGUGGAAUUGCCUUUGAAACUGCUGGGCUUGGAUCCUGGAGAGGGUGGCGGAAUUCCUGGUGUAGGAGUGAAAUCCGUAGAUAUCAGGAGGAACACCGGUGGCGAAGGCGGCCACCUGGACAGGUAUCGACGCUGAGGCGCGAAAGUGUGGGGAGCAAACAGG
rnacentral:rRNA from 1 species